ACCUAACACCGACCUUCUAAGCAUAAACAUGGCUGCUGCUUCGCUUCUGCCUCCCAAAUCUGGUAAAAAUUUCUCCUGUGGCCAACCUGUGCCCAAAACCAUGCAGAGAAGGGAACUCUGGGAAACACGGUUCUAGCUUAACUACAUUGACAAUAAAAAGCUACCACAGUUAUUGUCUCUUAGAUGGAAAGCGUCUUAUGUAUAUCACAUCCUCUUGACUGUAUACAGAAUACCUUCGCUUAGCCAAAUUUUAAAAUUUUUAAUAAAAGUCUAUUAAGGCUUAAUUUGAAAAAUCUAUCUUUUGUUCCAACAUUGGACAUCGUCCUUCACAUUUCCCAGAGGCCCUCAUGGGUAGCAGUUGAAUUUUUCUUUCCUUAUUCACGUUAGAUAACAAAUGUACCACAUCAUCAGCACGAGAGACAGGCAAAACAUUUAAUUAACUAACUAAAACAGUGUGUAUACACAUAAUUAUACACGAUUGUGUUACAUGUGUGAUUUGCCACUGUAGCUUUCCUCAUAUCCUUUUUGGAAGUGCAUGGGAUAAAAAAACAAAACAGGAUAUUUCCAUGACUACGUUUGAUUUUCACGAGACUUUCCAAAGCAACGUCCAAAGAAGAAUCCUCUGACUCAACACUUUCAUUUCCAGAGAGGAGUCCUCGAGUGGACACUUCCUGUUUCCUGUUGUUUCAUUUCCAGAGAGGAGUCCUCGAGUGGACACUUCCUGUUUCCCGUUGUUUCAUUUCCAGAGAGGAGUCCUCUCCGUGGGCACUUCCUGUUUCUCGUUGUUUGGACACAAGAUGGACGGUCAUAGUGGCCUCUUCCCAGGGAAGUACGACUUCUCCUCUAAGGUGAUGACAGAUAUGUAAAUCCUUUAAUCCAAACCAUUGCAUCAUGUUAAGGCUGAUCGGUGAACAGGCUGGAAAGAUUAAGACAAUGGCUCUUCUAAAGAGCAGCUUUGUGGACCGCCACAAUCUCAGCAGGAAUCAUUUCAAAACGUUCUUCCAGAUGCUAACUCAGCACUACUGAGCGACUAUCCACAAGGGCCAGCUACUUACUGGCACUGGGA